rnacentral:snRNA from 1 species
GUGGUCCCUUCGGCAGCACAUAUGCUAAAAUUAGAAUGAUACAGAGAAGAUUAGCAUGGCCCCUGCGCAAGGAUGACAGGCAAAUUCGUGAAGCGUUCCAUAUUUAA